GAUGAAGAACGUAGCGAAAUGCGAUAAGUAAUGUGAAUUGCAGAAUUCAGUGAAUCAUCGAAUCUUUGAACGCACAUUGCGCCCCCUGGUAUUCCGGGGGGCAUGCCUGUUCGAGCGUCAUUACAACCCUCAAGCUCUGCUUGGUAUUGGGCCCCGCCAGUUCUGGCGGGCCCUAAAGUCAGGGGCGGUGCCUUCCGGCUCCGAGCGUAGUAAUUCUUCUCGCUCUGGAGACCCGGUUGUGUGCUUGCCAACAACCCCCAAUUUUUUAAGGUUGACCUCGGAUCAGGUAGGGAUACCCGCUGAACUUAAGCAUAUCAAUAAGCGGAGGA
rnacentral:misc_RNA from 1 species